rnacentral:rRNA from 1 species
GGUGAACGCUGGCGGCGUGCUUAAGACAUGCAAGUCGAACGGCAGUCUUCGGACUGUAGUGGCGCACGGGUGAGUAACGCGUAACUGACCUACCCCAAAGUCGCGGAUAACGAUUCGAAAGAAUCGCUAAUACGUGAUGUGCUGCCAGAUUGUGUUCUGCCAGUAAAGCUUGAUUGCUUUGGGAUGGGGUUGCGUUCCAUCAGCUAGUUGGUGGGGUAAAGGGCCACCAAGGCGACGACGGACAGCCGGCCUGAGAGGGUGGCCGGCCACAGGGGCACUGAGACACGGGUCCCACUCCUACGGGAGGCAGCAGUUAGGAAUCUUCCACAAUGGGCGAAAGCCUGAUGGAGCGACGCCGCGUGAGGGAUGAAGGUCUUCGGAUCGUAAACCUCUGAAUCAGGGACGAAAGACACUUCGGUGGGAUGACGGUACCUGAGUAAUAGCACCGGCUAACUCCGUGCCAGCAGCCGCCGCAGUAA